UCGAGGAUCUUCGGCAAUGGGCGCAAGCCUGACCGAGCGACGCCGCGUGUGCGAUGAAGGCCUUCGGGUUGUAAAGCACUGUCGAGGGGGAGGAAGCCGCAAGGUUGACCUAUCCCUGGAGGAAGCACGGGCUAAGUUCGUGCCAGCAGCCGCGGUAAGACGAACCGUGCGAACGUUGUUCGGAAUCACUGGGCUUAAAGGGCGCGUAGGCGGUCAUCCAAGUCCGGGGUGAAAUCUUUCGGCUUAACCGGAAAAGUGCCUUGGAUACUGGAUGGCUGGAGGGAGGUAGGGGUCACGGGAACUUCCAGUGGAGCGGUGAAAUGCGUUGAUAUUGGAAGGAACUCCGGUGGCGAAAGCGCGUGACUGGACCUCUUCUGACGCUGAGGCGCGAAAGCUAGGGGAGCAAACGGGAUUAGAUACCCCCGUAGUCC
rnacentral:rRNA from 1 species